rnacentral:rRNA from 1 species
UACGUAGGGGGCGAGCGUUGUUCGGAAUCACUGGGCGUAAAGGGAGCGUAGGCGGGGCCGUAAGUUAGAAGUUUAAUUCCCGGGCUUAACCCGGGGCUGGCUUUUAAUACUGCGGUUCUUGAGUAUGGAAGAGGGAGAUGGAAUUCCAGGUGUAGCGGUGGAAUGCGUAGAUAUCUGGAAGAACACCAGCAGCGAAGGCGGUCUCCUGGUCCAAUACUGACGCUGAGGCUCGAAAGUUAGGGGGGCAAACAGG